UGUUAAUUCAAAAGAUUUCUGCGUCUCACCUGACCGUGUUUGACGAUUCUCUGAGUUUCGCCACGUAUAAACUUAUCAUAAUAAAAAAUAUAAAUAAAAUUAAUUAAUUAAUGUAAUGUAAUCAUCAUCACAUGUACUUGGAGAAAGUGGCGACGGGGCAUAGUCUAUAAUUAGUAAUUUUAAUUUGAUUAUGAAAUUAGCACUACGGUUAACUUAUCUGAUGGAUACCCACUUGAAACUGUA
rnacentral:misc_RNA from 1 species